ACUGAGAUUAUACUUUUAUGUGUGUUAUCAUUUGAAAGUUGCGUUGAAUUGUAAUUAUUUUAAAAAAUAAUUAGCUAAUUUUAAUUGUACCCUUGGUGCUUGUCGAUUGGCACUGAAAUAUGAGGAAUUCAUCAAAGCAUCUGAUGAAAAGAGUAAGGAAGGGUAAGCUUUCAUACAUAAUUGACGUCAUAAAUCGAUUAACAUGU
rnacentral:lncRNA from 1 species